CUUGUAUACUUUAUCGAGUAUAUAUAAUACUUCUUGUGUACGCUUUAUGGCAUUGUUUUUAGGUCUAUUCUACUAACAGUUCAAAUAAAGAUACGAAUUAUAUAUCCAAAGAGACGCUAAUGCAUCAAAAGUUGUCUAAGGAGUUAUUAACUGAAGAAAUAGAGAUUAAUGACGUUUCAGGUGGAUGCGGAUCAAUGUAUCAAAUUUAUGUUGCCUCUAAUAAGUUUCAGGGUGUUCCUUUACUUAAGCAGCACCAAUGGGUUACCGAUCUAUUAAAAGAAGAAAUAAAGGAAUUGCAUGGAUUGCAAAUUAUUACUAAAGUUUUGUAGUAAGUUAAUUUUAUUUACGAAAUUUAAUUU